rnacentral:rRNA from 1 species
CGUAGGGUGCGAGCGUUAAUCGGAAUUACUGGGCGUAAAGCGUGCGCAGGCGGUGAUGUAAGACAGGUGUGAAAUCCCCGGGCUUAACCUGGGAACUGCAUUCGUGACUGCAUCGCUGGAGUGCGGCAGAGGGGGAUGGAAUUCCGCGUGUAGCAGUGAAAUGCGUAGAUAUGCGGAGGAACACCGAUGGCGAAGGCAAUCCCCUGGGCCUGCACUGACGCUCAUGCACGAAAGCGUGGGGAGCAAACAGGAUUAGAUACCCUGGUAGUCCACGCCCUAAACGAUGUCAACUGGUUGUUGGGUCUUCACUGACUCAGUAACGAAGCUAACGCGUGAAGUUGACCGCCUGGGGAGUACGGCCGCAAGGUUG